rnacentral:lncRNA from 1 species
UCUUGCUCCCUGUUGAGGAGCCCGGGACAGCGAUGUGCAGAAACACAGUGAAACACAGUUGAAGCUGGAGUUAUCAGCUCACCCGCAGCACCACCCACCUCAACAAACACCAUCACAAGCAGAACAUGUCGCCCUCUGAGGCUUCUCCUUCUGGAAAGACAGCCUGGAAUAGAAAACAGCUCUCACUGUACACAAAAGGGACAAAAGAAAGUGAUCUGGGAAAGAGGAGGAAAAGGAGAAACGAAGGAGCCAUGAGGUGUAUAUUCAAGGAAGACCUGUCUUUCUUUCCCACCCAAAGCCUGAUCUUGCUGAUUAUGUUUCUGAAAGAAGUCAGGAGGGAUAACCCAGCACUAGGCUGAGAGGUAAGUAUCCAAUACGUAAAUUCUUGUUCUCUCUCUC